rnacentral:pre_miRNA from 1 species
AGGUUUGGAUAGGUAGCAAGCUUGGUUUUUACUCAUCAGUUUGCGACCAUAUCCAAGCUCCU